GAUGAACGCUGGCGGCGUGCCUAAUACAUGCAAGUCGAGCGAACAGACGAGGAGCUUGCUCCUCUGACGUUAGCGGCGGACGGGUGAGUAACACGUGGAUAACCUACCUAUAAGACUGGGAUAACUUCGGGAAACCGGAGCUAAUACCGGAUAAUAUAUUGAACCGCAUGGUUCAAUAGUGAAAGACGGUUUUGCUGUCACUUAUAGAUGGAUCCGCGCCGCAUUAGCUAGUUGGUAAGGUAACGGCUUACCAAGGCAACGAUGCGUAGCCGACCUGAGAGGCUGAUCGGCCACACUGGAACUGAGACACGGUCCAUACUCCUACGGGAGGCAGCAGUAGGGAAUCUUCCGCAAUGGGCGAAAGCCUGACGGAGCAACGCCGCGUGAGUGAUGAAGGUCUUCGGAUCGUAAAACUCUGUUAUUAGGGAAGAACAAAUGUGUAAGUAACUAUGCACGUCUUGACGGUACCUAAUCAGAAAGCCACGGCUAACUACGUG
rnacentral:rRNA from 1 species